UCAAUCCACGAUGUCGCCAAUGGUAAGGUGUGUUUUUUUAAUGACUGAGUAACAUCCCACUGUCCACAGGUGCCACCACUGUUAUCCACUCGUCUAUUGAUGGCGCUAAGGUUCCUCCCACGCCUUGGCGAUUGUAAAUAUACUGCAGUGAACACGGGGAUGCAUCUCUCCCCUCCCUCCCACUCUCUCUAAAAAUCAAUGGCGGAAAAAUAUCCUUGGGUGAGGAUUAACAACAACAAAGCGUCUUGUAGAUCAGAGCUUGCGGUUUACCCUAUGGCAAUAAAAGGAAAUCAGAAUACAUGGAGGGGAGCUCAACCGGAGGCAGGAAGACCAGAAGGCGGCCCAGGCGAGAAACGAAGUGGGGAUGCUAUAGGACACAGUGAAAGAGAUGGCAAAGAGGUCGGCGAUAAGAAAGCCAAUGGAAAAAACACAAAGAAGUAAAAGGAUGAGGGAUUGAAACUAUGCGUGACUCAAAAGAAUUUCAUCCUUGACCCUGGAUGCUGCGUCAUGGAGCCAAAUUAAA